rnacentral:rRNA from 1 species
UGGGGAAUAUUGCACAAUGGGCGCAAGCCUGAUGCAGCCAUGCCGCGUGUGUGAAGAAGGCCUUCGGGUUGUAAAGCACUUUCAGCGGGGAGGAAGGCGGUGAGGUUAAUAACCUCACCGAUUGACGUUACCCGCAGAAGAAGCACCGGCUAACUCCGUGCCAGCAGCCGCGGUAAUACGGAGGGUGCAAGCGUUAAUCGGAAUUACUGGGCGUAAAGCGCACGCAGGCGGUCUGUCAAGUCGGAUGUGAAAUCCCCGGGCUCAACCUGGGAACUGCAUUCGAAACUGGCAGGCUAGAGUCUUGUAGAGGGGGGUAGAAUUCCAGGUGUAGCGGUGAAAUGCGUAGAGAUCUGGAGGAAUACCGGUGGCGAAAGCGGCCCCCUGGACGAAGACUGACGCUCAGGUGCGAAAGCGUGGGGAGCAAACAGG